rnacentral:rRNA from 1 species
UACGUAGGGUGCAAGCGUUGUCCGGAAUUAUUGGGCGUAAAGAGCUCGUAGGCGGUCAGUCGCGUCUGCUGUGAAAACCCGCGGCUUAACUGCGGGCUUGCAGUUGAUACGGGCAGGCUAGAGUUCGGUAGGGGAGACUGGAAUUCCUGGUGUAGCGGUGAAAUGCGCAGAUAUCAGGAGGAACACCGGUGGCGAAGGCGGGUCUCUGGGCCGAUACUGACGCUGAGGAGCGAAAGCGUGGGGAGCGAACAGG